UACAGAGGUCUCAAGCGUUGUUCGGAUUCAUUGGGCGUAAAGGGUGCGUAGGCGGUCUGUCGCGUCGGCUGUGAAAACUCGGGGCUCAACCCCGAGCCUGCAGUCGAUACGGGCAGACUAGAGUGCUGUAGGGGAGACUGGAAUUCCUGGUGUAGCGGUGAAAUGCGCAGAUAUCAGGAGGAACACCGGUGGCGAAGGCGGGUCUCUGGGCAGUAACUGACGCUGAGGAGCGAAAGCGUGGGGAGCGAACAGG
rnacentral:rRNA from 1 species